CUCCAGGACAUUCUCAUUCACUGUCCCUUGCUGGUGGAAUGAUCUUCCUGCCUUCAUCCAGAAUGCUGAAUCCCUGGCAACAUUCAAAAGACAGCUGAAAACUCAUCUCUUUUGUGAGCACUUAACCUCAUCUUAGAAAAAAAAAUAAUAUUAGGAUUAAAGGAUUAUACCUAUCCUUUCACUUCCUCUCUAUUGUAGCUUAUGAUACUCUGAGCACCAGUGGCGCACCAUGGGGGGCGCCAAAGCGAUGGUUAAUUUUUUUUUUUUUAAAUAAUAAAAGUUAUAUAAAUUUAUAAUCAAAGUUAUACAUAAAAAAAGUUAUAUAAAUUUUAGAGGACUAACAGGCUAGAGUAGGCGCCGGUACCCUCAUAAGAUUCCAUCAUAGAAUUUAAACAUAGAAGGGUAAUAUCGCGAGUGGGCGGGGCGCAGCGCUGAGUGAGCAGCAGUAACGUAAACUCGAAAAAGAUGGAUAAAGCAAAAAAGCUAUCGGGGGCUAAAAAUAGAAAAAGAAAGAGGGAAAAGGAGAUGGCAUGUCAAGGGAUGCGACAGCUGCUAAAUAAGUGGAUGGUGAAAGGCAACAGUGGAGAAGAACACAGGCAAGGGGUAAAAGAGACAGACAUGAUGUCGGCGAUGGCAUCAAGUAAAGAUGAGACCAGUGAUGAUAUCAGGUAGGAGUUAUAUUAGUUAGACCACACCAAACUAAGUUCUGUUUACCAAUCUAUUCACUGUGUCCUUUUUGGGUAAAAAUUAGUGCAGACAGAGAUGGAAAGCCACUCACCACUGAGGAGGAAUUGGAGAAGAAUGUGGAAAAGGGAGGUGAAGAGGAGAGGGAGGUGGAAAUGGAACAGAGAGGUGAAGAGGAGAGGGCUGAGACAAGGCAUUACUCAGAAGAUCCAUCUGACUGGCCACCACCACACCAGAUUGGGGACUCAUUUA